ACAUUUCCAUUGAGAAAUGUCAAUGAUGAAAAGAUGACCAUGUACAUUUAAGCUUGUAAAUGCGUUGGAUCUUACUAUUAAUUAAUAUUUUGGAACAUAAUUUAAAAACCCAACUAUUCAAAACACUGCUUUUUAUACACAAGUGCCACAUAAGGCAUUGGCAUUUCAAGAAGGAUCCCUUCUAUUUGGCAACAUGUUUUACGGGCUUUUCUUUUCUUCUCGUGAAUGAUCUAGUCCCUUAGAGGAACAUGACUGGUACUCGGUUCUGUCCAGAAAUUUGGCAGAGGAUAUUUCCAACAUCCACAUUAAUAAGUAAUUGAAUUUUAAGCAGAGCUGAUCUUGAUCCAAACCCAGGACUGGAAGGAAUCUCAAAAGUCAUCCAGUUUAAUACCUAUUCUAAACUUCAGUUUUUUUCUACAAUGUAUUUGCUUAAUGGUUUUUCUCCUCUCCCAUUUUUAUUUUUUCCUGUAAGGAUAGGAGACAAAAGGGAAGAAAACAGAAAACGCAGGAUUACAGCACUUUCAGGUGAUUCUUGACCUUCAAUUUUAAUGGAGUUAAAUUUAUGUGGUCAAAUUCUACUACAAAAGAAACAGACUUUUUGUGAAAAUCAUUAAAAUAACUUUCCUAUUGUAUAGAUAAUGCCUGCUAACUGUAGAAGAUUUAUAAAAUGCUAAAAAGUAGAGAGAAGAAAAAAACUCAUCUUCUACCACUCACUACUACCAUUUGGUUUAUAAUUUCUGGAUUUUUGCAGUGCAUUUUUAUGUAGUUGUGUCAUAUUUCAUUUGGGAUGUAUAUGUUUUUCCCAUGUAAUACAAAUAUU
rnacentral:lncRNA from 10 species